GCGCUCUGUUGAUUCCCACGAGUGCAUAAAUGAUUGACAUAAGUAAAUAUUAUGCAUAAAGAAAUUGUUUAAGAAGCUGUUUUUAAUCCCCCAGGAGCAGAAAAUCGCGCACUUUACCAGGAGAUAUUCCUAACUAAAUUCUAGUACAUGCACCUUGUCAAUAUUUUACGCAUCAUUACGUCCAGCUGUUUGGUAGGGCAUUCAAAUUUAACAAUAAGUGAUUUCAAUAGUUUUCGGGUUUUUUGGGACACCCUGAA